GGAGGUCUUCUCUGUGAAACAAGAUACUUUUCCAAAGCUCUUUACUAGUUUACAUGGUAUCAGAACCUACCCUAUAAACUCCAUUUGAGAAAAUAUUCACAGAAUAACUACGGUUCAUAGUUUUUUUAAAUCAAAACUUACACUUUUGAAAAGUCUAGCAAGGGGCUUAAGCAUGUAAAAUAUCAUGCCGUCUCAAACCCGAUCGAAGUCCCAAAAUUUUGGUCUUCGAGUGAUCAUAUGUUUGUUUGUAGACUAUCAAUCAAUUUUACUGGAGACCUUUUUUGAAUCUUUGAAUAAAAGAACUGGA
rnacentral:lncRNA from 1 species